UACGUAGGGGGCAAGCGUUGUCCGGAUUUAUUGGGCGUAAAGAGCUCGUAGGCGGUUUGGUAAGUCUGGUGUGAAAUCUCCACGCUCAAUGUGGAGGGGCCACCCAAUACUGCCAUGACUGGAGUCCGGUAGAGGAGUGUGGAAUUCCCGGUGUAGCGGUGAAAUGCGCAGAUAUCUGGAGGAAUACCGGUGGCGAAGGCGGCAUCCUGGACCAUUACUGACGCUGAGGCGCGAAAGCUAGGGGAGCAAACGGG
rnacentral:rRNA from 1 species